rnacentral:tRNA from 1 species
AGCAAUAAACUAGGGAAUCGAACCCACAGUGUUCCGCUUACCGGGCAGAUGCCAUGUCCACUAGGCUACCCUGGACAUGC